rnacentral:rRNA from 1 species
GACGAACGCUGGCGGCGUGCCUAAUACAUGCAAGUAGAACGCUGAAGGAGGAGCUUGCUUCUCUGGAUGAGUUGCGAACGGGUGAGUAACGCGUAGGUAACCUGCCUGGUAGCGGGGGAUAACUAUUGGAAACGAUAGCUAAUACCGCAUAACAGUAGAUGUUGCAUGACAUUUGCUUAAAAGGUGCAAUUGCAUCACUACCAGAUGGACCUGCGUUGUAUUAGCUAGUUGGUGGGGUAACGGCUCACCAAGGCGACGAUACAUAGCCGACCUGAGAGGGUGAUCGGCCACACUGGGACUGAGACACGGCCCAGACUCCUACGGGAGGCAGCAGUAGGGAAUCUUCGGCAAUGGACGGAAGUCUGACCGAGCAACGCCGCGUGAGUGAAGAAGGUUUUCGGAUCGUAAAGCUCUGUUGUAAGAGAAGAACGAGUGUGAGAGUGGAAAGUUCACACUGUGACGGUAUCUUACCAGAAAGGGACGGCUAACUACGUGCCAGCAGCCGCGGUAAUACGUAGGUCCCGAGCGUUGUCCGGAUUUAUUGGGCGUAAAGCGAGCGCAGGCGGUUAGAUAAGUCUGAAGUUAAAGGCUGUGGCUUAACCAUAGUACGCUUUGGAAACUGUUUAACUUGAGUGCAAGAGGGGGGAGUGGAAUUCCAUGUGUAGCGGUGAAAUGCGUAGAUAUAUGGAGGAACACCGGUGGCGAAAGCGGCUCUCUGGCUUGUAACUGACGCUGAGGCUCGAAAGCGUGGGGAGCAAACAGG